AUGGACACCGCUCCCGCUCCCGCUCCCGCUAAGCCGUCCUUGUCCAGGAAGCCCUCGCCGUCGUUCCGCCUCCGCAACGGCAGCCUCAAUGCCCUGCGCCUGCGCCGCGUGUUCGACCUCUUCGACCGCAACGGCGACGGCGAGAUCACCCUCGACGAGAUGGCGGCCGCGCUCGACACGCUCGGCCUCGGCGCCGACCGCGCCAGCCUGGAGGCCACCGUCGGCGCCUACAUCCCGGCCGGCGCCGCCGGGCUCGGCUUCGAGGACUUCGAGGGCCUCCACCGCGCUCUCGGCGACGCGCUCUUCGGCCCCAUCGUCGAGGAGGAGCCCGGCAAGGAGGGCGAGGCCGAGGACGAGGACAUGAAGGAGGCGUUCCGGGUCUUCGACGAGAACGGCGACGGGUUCAUCUCGGCGGCCGAGCUGCAGGCCGUGCUCAAGAAGCUGGGCCUGGCGGAGGCGCGGAACCUGGCGGCGGUGCAGGAGAUGAUCUGCAACGUCGACCGCGACCGCGACGGCCAGGUCGACUUCGGCGAGUUCAAGUGCAUGAUGCAGGGGAUCACCGUGUGGGGAGCUUGA
rnacentral:rRNA from 1 species